AGCAGCGUGGCUCAGUGGAAAGAGCCUGGGCUUGGGGGAGUCAGAGGUCAUGGGUUCGAAUCCCAGCUCUGCCG
rnacentral:tRNA from 1 species